rnacentral:rRNA from 1 species
UACAGAGGUCUCAAGCGUUGUUCGGAUUCAUUGGGCGUAAAGGGUGCGUAGGCGGCGCGGUAAGUCGGGUGUGAAAUCUCGGAGCUUAACUCCGAAACUGCAUUCGAUACUGCCGUGCUUGAGGACUGGAGAGGAGACUGGAAUUUACGGUGUAGCGGUGAAAUGCGUAGAUAUCGUAAGGAAGACCAGUGGCGAAGGCGGGUCUCUGGACAGUUCCUGACGCUGAUGCGCGAAAGCCAGGGGAGCGAACGGG